UUAGCUUGCUAAGUUUGAUGGCGACCGGCGCACGGGUGAGUAACACGUAUCCAACCUGCCGAUGACUCGGGGAUAGCCUUUCGAAAGAAAGAUUAAUACCCGAUGGCAUAGUCCUUCCGCAUGGUAGAACUAUUAAAGAAUUUCGGUCAUCGAUGGGGAUGCGUUCCAUUAGGUUGUUGGCGGGGUAACGGCCCACCAAGCCUUCGAUGGAUAGGGGUUCUGAGAGGAAGGUCCCCCACAUUGGAACUGAGACACGGUCCAAACUCCUACGGGAGGCAGCAGUGAGGAAUAUUGGUCAAUGGACGAGAGUCUGAACCAGCCAAGUAGCGUGAAGGAUGACUGCCCUAUGGGUUGUAAACUUCUUUUAUACGGGAAUAAAGUGAGGCACGUGUGCCUUUUUGUAUGUACCGUAUGAAUAAGGAUCGGCUAACUCCGUGCCAGCAGCCGCGGUAAUACGGAGGAUCCGAGCGUUAUCCGGAUUUAUUGGGUUUAAAGGGAGCGUAGGCGGACGCUUAAGUCAGUUGUGAAAGUUUGCGGCUCAACCGUAAAAUUGCAGUUGAUACUGGGUGUCGUGAGUACAGUAGAGGCAGGCGGAAUUCGUGGUGUAGCGGUGAAAUGCUUAGAUAUCACGAAGAACUCCGAUUGCGAAGGCAGCCUGCUGGACUGUAACUGACGCUGAUGC
rnacentral:rRNA from 1 species